AAUAUAGCCAAGUAUUCCAUUUAUUAACAAAAUAAGUCUUACCAAGGGAGAGCUCUGUUCGUCUCAAACAGGCCCCGCAGCCCCCGCGCUGCCGCAUCAGACCAGAAGGAGGGAGGAGUGGGGAGAAGACCCCAGUCGCUGCGGGGUCUACUCUGGGGUGCUCUGCCGGGCCAGGCCUAGGAGAGGGCGGGGGCUGCCGUGAUUCGAGCGCUCCCCGACGCCCCAAGCUUCCCCGAACGCAGCUAACGAGCUCGUGACGUCCGCUGACAUCGCCACCGGUCUGCUUUGGAGGGAUCUAGCGAGAGUCACCCACCCCACCCCUACCGCCAGGGGUGGGGUCGUUGCCCCCACGAGGGAGAGAAAAACAAGGACUAUAAAGCACUUCGCAAAAUGUAAGGGGCCGGCUUCACGCCAGCAGGGCCUUCUGGGACUUUGAAUUCAACCAGGUGAGCGCUCCAGGUGCCCCGACAGGCGCACUGUGGCCACUGGGUGUUAGGGGCGGGAGUCUGGAAGGUGACGGUAGACGACAAGGCUCUGUGAGACCACUUGGGCCUCUCUGGGGGCGAGCCUGCUGGUGGGGUCAGGACUCUCCGUGCUCAGAGCAAGGUAGGGGAGCAAGGCCCUACGUUUGGGGGGCAGGGUCCAGACCAAGGACCCUAUGCGUGGAGGGUGGCGGGGGAGGAGUCCCGGAGCAGUGUACUAGGUCAAUAGAGCUCCAGGGCCCCUGCCACCCAGGUGGCUCCCUCCACCCCCAAAAUGAGUUACAAAAAAAAUCUCCUCUCUGUUACUUGUACAACAAAGGAAACAAAACAAAACAACAACAAAAAAACAAAAACAGAACAUGAAAUGGAAGGAAACAAGAGGGAAUGAAGGGGGAAGAGGGAAAAAGAGAAGGGGGAAACGUAGUUUUAAGUUAAGACUCAUGCAAGAAACUCCCCAGGAAGGGAAAACAAAACGUCUAGAAGAACCCAAAGACCCCAACUCUCCCUCCUCUCCCUAAAACCAAACCAAUCAAAAACCAAAAAAAGAGGAAAAGGAAUAAAAAAUGUAAAACUUACAUCUAAGAAAAAGAAAAUAACAGAAAGGAAGAGGGGCGGGGAUCAUGUCGUUAUUUGUGGGAUUAAUAUUAUUAUUUGGGGGAACACAGACUUUUUGCAUACCACUGACUCAUGUGGGCCGUUAAUGCACUUAUAUUCCCAGCUUGUAAGCUAACAUUAUAGUAAAUAAAUACACAGUCCGGUGGGGAAGGGUUGGGUGGGGAAUCCCGGCAGGGUCAAGCAGUAGUGGAGGUUGCAGCGGCGACGGCAGGUGGGGAGAGGGGAGGGAGAGGGAGGAGGGUGAGGGGGCUGGGGUGGAGGAAAGAGCUGUAGUUACUGGUAUCCCAGCGCCGAGGCUGAAGCUAGUCUCUGUCCAUACAGCGCGUAUGGCGAGUAGUAGGGUCCGGCUGUGGGGAGGGACGGCACGGCCAGGCCCCCCGCUGUGGAUAAGUGGCUCUUGCCAUAGGGGUGGUACCGGCUUAGCCCCAAAGUGUGUGGACUCCGCAAGGACAGCGACCCGGGGCUGCCGGGGGGGCGGCCGGGCGGGAGGUGCAGAUGGCAGGAGGCGGCGGCGAGCGGCGGCGGCGCUGCCCAGGCCCGAGGCCCGGGUGGCGGCCAGAAGCGGUGGGUCCGUGGUGGCUGAGCAGCUCCGAGGUGGCGGCUUGUCGCGACGCCGCUGGCCGCCACCCAGUUGCAGCCAGCGGCAGCGGUUCGUUCUGCAGCAUGAAGCCGUGGGUGUAGAGAGGGUGGCCGGGGAGCUGGCCUGGGCGGCGCUGGACGACAGCGCGGGCGGGCUGCAGCGGGUGCCCGGGGUACACCAGCGGGUAGCCCCCCGCCUUCAGGCUGGGCCCGGCUGGGUCGUGCGCACUGCAGGUGGAGCAGCUGGAGCCGCCGAGGUGCGAGGCGCUGUGGUAACCUCCCAG
rnacentral:lncRNA from 1 species